rnacentral:rRNA from 1 species
GCUAGUAAUCGCGGAUCAGAAUGCCGCGGUGAAUGCGUUCCCGGGUCUUGUACACACCGCCCGUCACACCAUGGAAGUUGGGGGCGCCCGAAGUUGGUCAAGAAGAGAUUACCUAAGGCGAAACCAAUGACUGGGGUGAAGUCGUAACAAGGUAGC